CACUAAGUAACUUAAUUAAAGUAAUGGUCUCUUAAACCAAUUCAUAAUAAUUUAACCUUAUUCUUAAUGA
rnacentral:tRNA from 1 species